rnacentral:rRNA from 1 species
GUUGACCUCGGAUCAGGUAGGGAUACCCGCUGAACUUAAGCAUAUCAAUAAGCGGAGGAAAAGAAACCAACAGGGAUUGCCCUAGUAACGGCGAGUGAAGCGGCAACAGCUCAAAUUUGAAAUCUGGCGCAAGCCCGAGUUGUAAUUUGUAGAGGAUGCUUCUGGCCAGCGGCCGUUCUAAGUUCCUUGGAACAGGACGUCAUAGAGGGUGAGAAUCCCGUAUGUGACCGGCGCGCAGCCUUUACGUAGCUCCUUCGACGAGUCGAGUUGUUUGGGAAUGCAGCUCUAAAUGGGAGGUAAAUUUCUUCUAAAGCUAAAUACCGGCCAGAGACCGAUAGCGCACAAGUAGAGUGAUCGAAAGAUGAAAAGCACUUUGGAAAGAGAGUUAAAAAGCACGUGAAAUUGUUGAAAGGGAAGCGCUUGCAACCAGACUUCGUAGCGAUGUUCCGCUGGUCUUCUGACCGGUCUACUCAUCGUCGCGAGGCCAACAUCGUCUGGGCCCGCUGGAUAAGACCUAAGGAAUGUGGCUUCUCUUCGGGGAAGUGUUAUAGCCUGUGGUGAUGCAGCGUGGCUCGGGCGAGGUCCGCGCUUCGGCAAGGAUGUUGGCGUAAUGGUUGUCAGCGGCCCGUCUUGAAACACGGACCAAGGAGUCUAACAUCUAUGCGAGUGUUCGGGUGUCAAACCCCUACGCGUAAUGAAAGUGAACGGAGGUGGGAAGCGCAAGCUGCACCAUCGACCGAUCCUGAUGUCCUCGGAUGGAUUUGAGUAAGAGCAUAGCUGUUGGGACCCGAAAGAUGGUGAACUAUGCCUGAAUAGGGUGAAGCCAGAGGAAACUCUGGUGGAGGCUCGCAGCGGUUCUGACGUGCAAAUCGAUCGUCAAAUUUGGGUAUAGGGGCGAAAGACUAAUCGAACCAUCUAGUAGCUGGUUCCUGCC